rnacentral:rRNA from 1 species
UACGUAGGGUGCAAGCGUUGUCCGGAAUUAUUGGGCGUAAAGAGCUCGUAGGCGGUCUGUCGCGUCUGCUGUGAAAACUCAGGGCUUAACCCUGAGCUUGCAGUGGGUACGGGCAGACUAGAGUGCGGUAGGGGAGACUGGAAUUCCUGGUGUAGCGGUGAAAUGCGCAGAUAUCAGGAGGAACACCGGUGGCGAAGGCAGGUCUCUGGGCCACUACUGACGCUGGAGGAAGCGAAAGCGUGGGGAGCGAACAG